rnacentral:rRNA from 1 species
AAGUCGUAACAAGGUCUCCGUUGGUGAACCAGCGGAGGGAUCAUUAUCGAGUUAUUCAACUCCCAAACCCUAUGUGAACUUACCACUUGUUGCUUCGGCGCGCGCUUCGACGCCGCCGAGGACACUUAAACUCUUUGUUUUUAUAAGCAUUUCUGAGUGGCCGAAAGGCAAAAAUACAAAUGAAUCAAAACUUUCAACAACGGAUCUCUUGGUUCUGGCAUCGAUGAAGAACGCAGCGAAAUGCGAUAAGUAAUGUGAAUUGCAGAAUUCAGUGAAUCAUCGAAUCUUUGAACGCACAUUGCGCCCGCCAGCAUUCUGGCGGGCAUGCCUGUUCGAGCGUCAUUUCAACCCUCGAGCCCGACUCUUUUGAGGACGGCUCGGCGUUGGGGGACGGCAGACUCCCCCCGGCAUCUCGCCGGGGACGCCGCCCCCGAAAUCUAGUGGCGGCCCUCCGAGGCGACCUCUGCGUAGUAACUUGUUCUCGCACCGGAAAGCUCAGAGCGGCCACGCCGUAAAACCCCAACUUUUUUCAGGUUGACCUCGAAUCAGGUAGGACUACCCGCUGAACUUAAGCAUAUCAAUA